UACGUAGGUGGCAAGCGUUGCCCGGAAUUAUUGGGCGUAAAGCGCGCGCAGGCGGUCCUUUAAGUCUGAUGUGAAAGCCCACGGCUCAACCGUGGAGGGUCAUUGGAAACUGGGGGACUUGAGUGCAGAAGAGGAAAGCGGAAUUCCACGUGUAGCGGUGAAAUGCGUAGAGAUGUGGAGGAACACCAGUGGCGAAGGCGGCUUUCUGGUCUGUAACUGACGCUGAGGCGCGAAAGCGUGGGGAGCAAACAGG
rnacentral:rRNA from 1 species